rnacentral:lncRNA from 1 species
GACUGAGGCGCCCAGGUGCUGUUAUAUCCUUCGAUCUUAUAUUAGUAUAAACUUUACAAUCUUGGGGCCGGUUGCUCGAAAGUCGGAUAACUUUAUCCACUGGAUAGUGAUUUUUUCAACCGUUGUAAAAUUGCUCGAAAAUAUAUAGGCCAUAUGGGCCUGUCAAUUGAUAAAAAGAAAGUUCAACUUAAAAAUAUCUAAGUUUAAUCUGAAUCAGACCAGUCAACAGGUUGUUUUAGGAAGCCUGAAAGAAAAAUACCGGAUAGCGCUAUCCAACUUUCGAACAACCGACCCCUUGUGUCAAAACGUUCAGGCUAACCACGCAGUAAUAUUGUUAGUUUAUAAUCAGUGCAGC